rnacentral:lncRNA from 1 species
AGCCCUGUCCUUGAGCCAGAGGCAGGAGCGUCCCCCUUCUUUAUCUGGGUCAACACUGGACCCAAAUGCACAGCCAGACCUGGCAGCCUAUGAGUCAUUGACACAUUGUGGACAGAAUUCAUCCAGAAGCGGCAUCCGUCCAUCUGCUCCUUGCUCAUCUCUCUCCUCAGAUGGCCCCCGUGGGUGGCUGAGAAAAUGCACUGGAACCAGUCAUAUCCAUCAAAACGACCAGUGGCCAUCAGCCCGCUGCGGCCAUCGAUCUGGAGGCUCCUACCCGUGCAGGCCAGAGCAACCCGGCUCCUAGGUGAGGCUGGGGGGAAGCACCUCGUUUUCUCGGAUUUUUUCCUUUUU